GAAUAACACAACAAUCUGCACAACCUGAACCACGGAACUCAGCAGCACCAAGGCCUUUGAGACUGCUGCGAAGCACCCUUUCUGAGAAGGCCAAGCCUCCUUAAAAUGUCAUCAUUCCUCACAAUAACCUUCAAGGUCCACUGCCAUGCUUCAGAGACAGCAAAGUACCCCCUGGAAAGAUCCAUGUGGAGAAGAACUGAGGUCUUCUGUCAACAACCGGUACCAACUUUCUACUCAU